rnacentral:ncRNA from 1 species
AACAACGAACUAUGAGAAGUCAGCAGAAGCCAUAGUACCAAGGGGAAAAAAAACUUGGGAAGGGC